rnacentral:rRNA from 1 species
CAAUAGCGUAUAUUAAAGUUGUUGCGGUUAAAAAGCUCGUAGUUGGAUUUCUGUUGAGAGCAGCGCGUCUACCUUUUGGGUAAGUAUGUUGCUUGGUCUCGGCAUCUUCGUGGAAGACGUUUCUGCGCUUGAUUGCGUGGGGCGGGGUUCACGACUUUUACUUUGAGGAAAUUAGAGUGUUCACGGCAGGCAUACGCCUUGAAUAUAUUAGCAUGGAAUAAUAAUAUAGGAUCUUGAUUUUAUUUUGUUGGUUUCUAGAGUUAAGAUAAUGAUUAAUAGGGACGAAUUAGGGGGCGAUUCGUAUUAACGUCGUCAGAGGUGAAAUUACUUGGAUUUGUUUAAAGUACGGACGUACUGCGAAAGACAUUUGUCCAAGGAUGUUUUCUAUUGAUCAAGAACGAAAGUUAAGGGGAGUCGAAGACGAUCAGAUACCAU